rnacentral:ncRNA from 2 species
UACGAAGGGGGCUAGCGUUGCUCGGAAUUACUGGGCGUAAAGCGCACGUAGGCGGACUUUUAAGUCGGGGGUGAAAUCCCGGAGCUCAACUCCGGAACUGCCUUCGAAACUGGAAGUCUUGAGUUCGGGAGAGGUGAGUGGAACUGCGAGUGUAGAGGUGAAAUUCGUAGAUAUUCGCAAGAACACCAGUGGCGAAGGCGGCUCACUGGCCCGAUACUGACGCUGAGGUGCGAAAGCGUGGGGAGCAAACAGG